AAGUCGUAACAAGGUUUCGUAGGUGAACCUGCGGAAGGAUCAUUAAAAAAUGUGGUACCGAUUGUUGGUACUAAUUAAUCAUCCUACCCUUUGUGAAUUUGUUUGUACGAAUUUUUUUAAAUGGGUCUUUCCCUAAGUUGGAUUGUAGUAAAGUACAAAAAAGACUUAGGGGAAUGACUUUUUUAAAAGACUUUUUUUUAAUUAAAACUUUUUGUAUUCAUUUGUCUAAAAUUUAUUUUUAUAAUAUAAAAACAACUUUUGACAAUGGAUCUCUUGGUUCUCGCAACGAUGAAGAACGCAGCAAAAUGCGAUAAGUAGUGUGAAUUGCAGAAUACGUGAAUCAUCGAAUCUUCGAACGCAUAUUGCACUUUUUUAGUUUACUAAAAAAGUAUGUCUGUUUGAGUAUCAGUAAAAUAUUCUCACAAAAACAAUUUGUUUUUUGUGGUUAUGAGUGUUUUACAACGAUAAACAAGUUGUUUCACUUUAAAUUCUUUUUAAUUGAAUUUUACCAAUUCAUAAAUUAAAAUUGGAUAAAAUUUUCCUUUAACGAGGAAUAACCUAAACAAUUUUAAAUUUUAUGGAUUAAUAAACAUUCAUCAAAGGAAUCUAUAUACAUAAAUAACUUGAUCUCAAAUCAGAUAAGAGUACCCGCUGAACUUAAGCAUAUCAAUAAGCGGAGGAAAAGAAACUAACAAGGAUUCCCUUAGUAACGGCGAGUGAAGCGGGAAGAGCUCAAAUUUGAAAUCUUCAAGGUUUGACCUUGACGAAUUGUAGUUUAUAGAAGUGUUUUCUGUUGGAGUUUUGGUAAAAGUUCUUUGGAAUAGGACAUCAUAGAGGGUGAGAUCCCGUAUUUGACCAUGACUUUCCAGCUGUGUGAUACACUUUCAAAGAGUCGGAUUGUUUGGGAAUGCAGUCCAAAAUGGGUGGUAAAUUUCAUCUAAAGCUAAAUAUUGGCGAGAGACCGAUAGCGAACAAGUACCGUGAGGGAAAGAUGAAAAGAACUUUGAAAAGAGAGUUAAACAGUACGUGAAAUUGUCAAAAGGGAAGCGUUUGACACCAGUGUUGUUUUCUCGAAAAUCAAUUUAAUGAGUUCUUGUUUUUAAGUUAUUGUGACUUUAUCAGCGCAUUUCUUAUUUUACUUGACUCAUUGAAUGCACUUUUCGUUUAACAAGUCAACAUCAAUUUCUUUGGUGGUAAAAAGUUUAAAGGAAGGUGGCUUGGACUUCGGUUCAAGUGUUUAUAGCCUUUUUUCUAUGCCAUCGGAGAGAUUGAGGUCUGCAGCGUAGAUCCUUCGGGGUUAGAUACCUUUGUGCUAAGUUAUAGUUUUUUAUAGACAACUUGUUGACUAUAAUUAACCCUGUAAUUUACUCGCUUAGGCUAUUUUACCUACGCUAGGAUGUUGAG
rnacentral:misc_RNA from 1 species